rnacentral:rRNA from 1 species
AGAGAUGGAGCAAAUCCCAAAAAUAAACGUCCCAGUUCGGACUGUAGUCUGCAACCCGACUACACGAAGCUGGAAUCGCUAGUAAUCGCGGAUCAGAAUGCCGCGGUGAAUACGUUCCCGGGUCUUGUACACACCGCCCGUCACACCAUGGGAGUCAGUAACGCCCGAAGUCAGUGACCUAACCGAAAGGGAGGAGCUGCCGAAGGCGGGACGGAUGACUGGGGUGAAGUCGUAACAAGGUACC